rnacentral:rRNA from 1 species
CCUACGGGAGGCUGCAGUCGAGAAUCAUUCACAAUGGGGGAAACCCUGAUGGUGCGACGCCGCGUGGGGGAAUGAAGGUCUUCGGAUUGUAAACCCCUGUCAUGUGGGAGCAAAUUAAAAAGAUAGUACCACAAGAGGAAGAGACGGCUAACGUUGUGCCAGCAGCCGCGGUAAUAAAGAGGUCUCAAGCUUUGUUCGGAAUCACGGGGCGUAAGGCGUGCGUAGGCUGUUUCGUAAGUCGUGUGUGAAAGGCGCGGGCUCAACCCGCGGACGGCACAUGAUACUGCGAGACUAGAGUAAUGGAGGGGGAACCGGAAUUCUCGGUGUAGCAGUGAAAUGCGUCGAUAUCGAGAGGAACACUCGUGGCGAAGGCGGGUUCCUGGACAUUAACUGACGCUGAGGCACGAAGGCCAGGGGAGCGAAAGGGAUUAGAUACCCGUGUAGUC